UUACGUUUUCAAAACACUAAUACGAAUUUGUUUUGUGGUAGGCUGAUUCUGAAUUUUGGUUAUGAUGACUACACUUAGAAACUGGCAGUCGAGUAAAGAAUACAUCAACACUUGAUAUAUCCUUAACAUCGAAUUUCUCCCAUGUAAUUUCGGAUAAAACUGUUGAGGACUACGAUUACAAAAAAGCUUGAUUCUGUUAUGAGAUUAUGAUGACUACACUUACAAACUAGCAGUCGAGUAAAGAAUAAUUCAUCACUUGAUACUUGAUAUCAAAUAGUUGAGGAACACAAUAUCAAAGAUAAGAAACGGAUUCAAUCUUUCGUUAAUACAAUUCCGGUUUUAAUUUAUAUAACUAAACUCUGAUUAAAUUUUAUUUCAAUCUUUAGGAUAAUCCUGUUUUUCCAAGAAGAUGAUUAAAGUUACAAUUUGGAAGUGAAUCAAUGAAGAAGACAUCUAUAUUUUAUAUAGGCCUUAAGAUCAGAGAGAUUUGUGAAAGCAUCGUUGACGGCCAUCUCUUCUUAAAAGAUUAAACUCCAAAGAGAUAUAUAAUGAUUUACUUAUAGCAAAUGAUUUCAGAAUCUGGAAACUUUGACAAUUAUUUACUACCUUGUGUCUCGGAGCUCAACCUUUAAUUGUUAUGGAAAAUGGUAAGUUUUUUCAACUCGGUAAUCUCUAAAAUCCCGGAUUUAUUGGAGAUUAAAUGAUAAUAGAAAAGAAUGUUGGUGCUUUGAUUUAUAA